CUUCCACGGACUGCCACGUCGAGAUCCGUGACGACAAGGUUUAUUUGGUUUUUAUCCCUCAGUUUCAAAAGGCUGAUUGGGUAUUGUCAUCACCCUACCAGGUGGGCAGGCCUGUUCCCCAGGUUCCAGUGAGCACAG